GAGAAGCCGCUUCAUUCCGAAAGGGGAAAACCGAGCAACUCUUUCUUCCCCAUCCAUCACCCAGAGAAACCCUAAAAAUUAAAUCUGGGGUUAGGGUUUCUCUAUCUAUAUUUGUCUCAGUUCUCUCCUUUCUCCCUCGAAAUUGAAAUCCAAGUUUAGCUUUUUCUGAAAAUUUCCAGAUCUGGUCAGUUUUUCCUUUUAACAAAAUUUGAACUAUGUCUCUAAAAUCAUCCUCCGGUUAUGGCACUAUCCCUACCACCACCACCACCACCACCA
rnacentral:misc_RNA from 1 species